AUGAAAAAAAAAAAAGCUAUUAAAAUGUUUUAUAAAAUAGUAUAACAGCAUAUACAUAAUACUAAAAUAACACCGCUAUUUUUAAUAUAUUUUUUUAAAUCCCGAAAACAUUUUAUUCAGAAUAUCCUGACAACUCUUUUCUAUAUAAUUGGAGUAACUAGGGACUGGGGCUGUCAACGUACAAAUUGACGAAAAAUCAAAAACAUAAAAGUAUCAUAAAAGUAGUCAUAAGAAAAAGGAGAUUAUUAUUUAUUAACAGCUUAGCUUUCUGUUUCCAAAAUGUAUAAUAUGUCUUCAGAAGACUUGAAAUAUAGCCCACUAUGUCAAAUGGACUGCUUUUUUUUUAGCUUGACAACCUGUCCCCAUUCACUUCUAUUAUAUGCAAAGGAUCGAACAAGAGAUAUAUUUAACUUUUUUGUUAAACAGAAGAGAAAAGGUAUUUGAAAAAAAAAAAAACAUAAGAGUGAGCAAAUGACAGAUUUUUCAUUUUUAGGAGUUUCUUUCUUCUGUUGAACACAAAAGAAUAUAUUUUGAAAACUGUUGGUAUCUGAACAGUUGAUGGGCACCAAAAAAUACUAUGGAAAUCAAUGGUGCCCAUCAACUGUUCUGAUGCCAACAUUUUUCAUAACAUCCUCUUUGUGUUCAACAGAAGAAAGAAACUUUCUUGAGAAAAAUGACGUAAUUUUCAUUCUGGAAGUUAACUACUCCUUUACCGUUGAUUCAAUGUUAUUUCAAUCAUAGAAAGAUACUUUAAAAAAAAAAAAAGCACAACUGCAGAGUUAAAUUAGACUGUGACACAAAAACUACAGUACUGCAGUAGCAGCACAAGAUAACACAACUAAUAAGCUUUUAACAAGAAUGUCAGUGCAUCAGACUGUCUGCUUCUUACACGCAGCUGCUUUAAACUUUGCACAAAUUACAAGCCAGAAAACUGACAUAACAGCUCUUGAAAUAGUCUUUACUUUUAAAUGUAUCCAUGCUGUGGAAGUGGAUUUUUUUUCUUACACAGUUGCAUUUGACUCUACAUUCACAGAGUUAUAACCCUGUUGACAAUCAGACAUUAUAACAUCAUAAUGUCCCUAAACAUUGUUGAAUGUAUUGUCUUGUGAGGCUAACUCAAAAUUCCCUCAUUAGCUUGAUAGCAUGUUAAGCUAUCGUUAAAUAAAUGCUUGGACGUGUUCAUUUUAGACUCAUGGUUGCCAAAUGUCGCAAAAAUAUCCGUCAUGAACUCUAAAUGUACGAUACAGUUUUAACAAUAACAAACAGGUGCUUUUCAUAGAGUCUGUGAACUGACUGUUCAGAUGUCACCAGUUGUCUUAGUAUUACCACUGUAUUACGAACGUCACUGUACAGUUAAUGCAGUAGAGUGAUAGUAGGCCUGUAAGUUAUAACAUAGAUAUUAAAACAAGCAGAUAGGCUAACCAAAGUCCCUUGACAAUUAGUGAGUCAUGAUUUUUGUUCUAAAACAGCAGUGAGGGUGUUGUCUUUGUUCAUAAUGUUCUGUUCCAUGAACUGAUCUAUCUGCCUGAGUCAAAACAGGAAAGAGUAUGAAUUUGUCAGGCACUUUUGAAAUGUAACUUCUGGGCCCUUCAGAAUGAAAUACUGAUUGCAGUGAAAGUGGUUUGCUUUUUUGUUUCUUCACAAAAGAAGAAGAAUAAAUUGUAAAUAUGAUAACACAAAUAUAUUAUAUAAAUAUAUAAAUGAAUCUGAGAAAAUAAACUUUUAAAUAUUAAGAAGUGGCCAGCCAUUUUCUUGUUUUCAAGUUUUUUUUUGUUUGUUUACUCACGAACACAGCUUGUUACAAAAGUAGCUUAUUUUGGUCUAUUGUCUGGCACUAGGUCUCCAGUAUUUCCUAUUUGGCAGAAAACAUUGGAGUGUCUUGUAAAAGAUUAGGGUGGUGAUAUCAUUUUUCACUAUCUGUGUUUUGUCUGCAUGAUUUGUGCUGCCAAAACACCAGAUCAUUUUCAAAGAAUAGAUGUUUUCUGUCUACUACUCAUUGUCCUGUACGCCCAUAACAAAACUUCAGACAGAAAUGUAACAAAAAUCUAUUCUGAAUAACUGGCAGUUUUUUAGGAUUUGAACACAUUUUGACAUGCAUUGUCAAGCUGUUUUCCAAAUAUAAAUAAUAUCCUAAAUUAUAUACCUAAAGUCAUAACGUCAUAUAGUGAUAUAGUAUACUGUAUAUAGGCUAUAUUAGUGGUAUCAAAAAUAGCGUUAACGCAGGCAAUUUUUUUCAGUUUAAUGCGUUAAAAAAAUUCAAUUCAAGUUUAGCAUAUUUGUAUAGCGCUUUUCACGAUACAAAUAGUUGCAAAGCAGCUUUACAGGAAAUUAAGUUUCUACAAUAUAUUUAGUAGUAGCUUGUCAGUGGUGACUGUCAAAUUGAUGUACAUACGGCAGAAAUGUGCGGUAAAAUUCAGUUAGUAACAUAAUCAGACAAACAAUGAACACUAUUAAGAGCAAUGGACCCUUUUCACAAGACUGUGAUGACGCGUUUUAUUGUCAUCAUCGUAAAUCCAAAAAGUUUUUCAUAUUUGUAUUUUUUACAAAAUUUAUGUACAUUUAUAACACUAUUCUUUGUCUUAUAUCACCUUUGCAUCAAAUUAAAAAAAAAAAAAACAGUUAACGUCGACAUGAAACGGAAGUAGCGAUUGUCUUUUUUUCUCUACUGUGACAUCUAUCUGAGUGAAACGGCAUCUGAAAUGAAAGGGCGGGACUUGAUUUUGUCCUUCGGGAAUUGAUUGGAUCGUUUGAACAGGCGCGAGAGAGAGAGAGACUGCCUGAAUGACUGAGCGCAUCCUACAUCAGGUUUAGUCAUAUUCAUAAAACAAUAGUUUGCGAUGUCCUGAGAGUAAUGUUUUGGUAAUAUCCUAAUAUCCUUUCAGUUUUUAAGGGUAGUGUACUCCCCCAUGGCUUGCGUCAGCACUGGUCAAUGCAUUGAUUUCUAUAAAGUAAAGCAUCAGCUUCAAUUUCUCCCCGUUAUUUAUCCCAGCGUUUACCCAUUACGUCAUUAGCUCCACCCUUGCGCCAUAGCUUGUGACCGGAAGAAAAGAGGAGUCAUUUUGAGGGGGAGGAGAGGUUAACGUUUUUGAUUAAAGUUUUUGUUUUACUCAGCCUCGAAGCAUCCUAGGUGUAUGUGACUUUCUUCUUUCAGACGAAUCCAGUCGGAGUUAUAUUAAAAAUUGUCUUUACUCUUGCAAGCCUUUCAAUUGGGGUAAGCAGGUGUUUGUUGUCAACAGUUCAGAAGACGUAAAGUAAAGUGCGCGCAUCUGUAAUAAAGCAUCCCUCACACGGCUCCAGGGGGGUGUAUAAAGGCCCCCUGUAGCGAAUCCAUAUGUUUUUGUAAGAUAAAUAUCCAGAUUUAAAAUGUAAUUUCAAAACUUUUUUUUCUCACAUCUGCUGACUGUGGGAAGCAGAAGACGUGCAGGCAGAUGACGUAGUAUGUCAGCACUGCAUGGUUACUAAUGAGCGUGGAGAGAGAACAAAACAAAACACCGGUCACAAAUUAAAAUCACGAAACGAGGAUUUGUAUAGAAAAACGUUGAAGAUUUUGCUAAAAGCCAAUAGGAGACUUGUGUAGAACCUCAGUGAACAGACAUAAAUACAUAAGUGAAUCACCACAUUCCAAGAACAACCUAAAGAAACCUCUCUCAGCCAUCUGUGGGUCAUAAAAAUGACCAAUGACCCUUCUAACGCCCAAUUGUCUGGACCGGUUUCCAGUCUUGUCUGGUUCCUAUCCUUCAAGGGAUCAACAUUGUAAAGAAAAACCUUACUCAACCAACACAGAACAAAGAACGCUGUAUCUGGAAAUGUUCCACACUACUUGACCCCAUGACUGUUUAACGCAUAAAUUGAUAAUCUUAUCAGUUGAAAAAACAGAUUUACGUUGACUCAGAUGCUCAGCAGUUCUACACCAGUUACACUGUCAUGACCUCCUCGUCCUCGGGAACACACGACUCCCCUCACAUCCUGCAUUCCAAAAGAACACGCCCACUUCCUUACAAAGGAGCACACGCAAACUCACAUAGAUGAUUUCAAAAGACAAUCAUUUAAAAGUAUAAAAGUGCAACUAUAUUCACAAAUAAUAUGUUUUAAUUCUUAUAUAUGCUUGAUGUGUUUCAUGUAAUCGGUGCAAGUUUAAUAAAUGUUAUAUAACCCCUUUUAGUAGAUAAGAUUAUUAAUGUGUAUGCAAACUACCCGAUAUCUGAGCUUGAAUGAAAGCUUAUUUUAUGUGCAAGACUUUGAAAUGAAUGAAAAGCUGUUAUUUUGAACAGUGUGUUGUAUGACACUUUAUAGAAGUUAUUAACAAAACCUGCAAAGACAUUUCCACAGUGAUGAAUUAAACAGCAUGUUAAUUUAUGAACGAAAAAGGAACCGUAUGGGGCGUGACUAAGUCUUGCAACAAACUGAUUGGAAGAUUGUGUCGUGGGACGGACUUAUUCAGCUUGAUCAAAACCCCAAUCUCGGAGCAGAUCCGUGCUCGCUUGCUUUCUUGAUAUUUGGCUUCUUCGCCUUGUUGACCGCGCUACAAAGAGCUCACAUGCUGUAACGUCAUGCGAGCGAGACUCCAGAACUCAAACAAUUUGAAACUUUGUGACUGCCGGAAUCUUCAAAGUCUAGCCAAGCAAAGAAACUCUCAGAUGAACUUCCGAAGCUCCUACGUCACAAGGCGAACCUCCAUUCCCCACGAGGGUUCUCCCAAAAGACGUCAACCAAACAACAGAUCUGCAAGCAAUCAGAGGUGCUGGGAUUCCCUGAGAUGAGCCAGAGCAAAACUCCAACUCCUCUCAACUCAAACGCAAAAACGCAUGGAUUCACUACAGUGGGCCUUUAUUCACACCCCGGAGUCAUGUGAGGGACGUUUUAUUACAGAUGCGCGCACUUUAUUUCACGUCUUCUGAACUGUUGACAACAAACACCCGCUUACCCCCAUUGAAAGGCUUAGAAGAGCAAGGACAAAUUUUAAUAUAACUCAGAUUGGAUUCGUCUGAAAGAAGAAAGUCACAUACACCUAGGAUGCUUCGAGGGUAGUCCAGGUCCUCCAGCAUAGGACAUCCAUAUGUGCUGUUGCAAGGAGGUUUGGUGUGUCUCCCAGUCCCAGCACAGACUCGGUCUUGAGCGUUGAGGAAAUACAGUGAGCCAGGCUGUUACAAGAGGACAGCUGGACAGAACCGUAGAAGGGUUACGUUCCCCAGGCAUGAUUCCAUUUGAGAACAUCUUGAAAGUUAUGUAUGGGAUGUAUUGGAGCAUCUGAAGCUGCAGUUUUUUUUUCUUUGAUUUUAUAUAUAUACAUAUACAUAUAUACAGUGGGUAUAGAAAAAAAUCACCCCCUUUUAAAUUAAUCACAUUUUGUUGCUUUGCAGCCUAGAAUGAAGACCUACACAGUUUUUGUCAGAAUUGCUGAGUUGGAAACAGAAUCACCCCUUCCUAAAAAUUACUUGUAAACUCAAUCAGGUGGAGCUAAUCACCUUCUCAAUGGCGCAAAAAAAGCAAAUGGUCAACUGUGGGUGGCAAGGCACUGUCAAAAGAUCUCAGGGAUAAAGUUGUGGACAGGCACAAGUCAGGAGAUGGAUCCAAAAAGAAUUUCAAAGGCUUUAUCAAUGCCCCGGAAGCACAGUGAAGUCUAUU